AAUAGAUACCCAGGUAGUCCACGCCGUAAACGAUGGAUACUAGCUGUUUGAGCGCAAGUUUGAGUGGCUAAGCGAAAGUGAUAAGUAUCCCACCUGGGGAGUACGGGCGCAAGCCUGAAACUCAAAGGAAUUGACGGGGGCCCGCACAAGCGGUGGAGCAUGUGGUUUAAUUCGAUGAUACGCGAGGAACCUUACCAGGGCUUAAAUGUAGAUUGACGUAUUUGGAAACAGAUAUUUCUUCGGACAAUUUACAAGGUGCUGCAUGGUUGUCGUCAGCUCGUGCCGUGAGGUGUCAGGUUAAGUCCUAUAACGAGCGCAACCCCUGUUGUUAGUUGCCAGCGAGUAAUGUCGGGAACUCUAGCAAGACUGCCAGUGUAAACUGUGAGGAAGUGGGGAUGACGUCAAAUCAUCACGGCCCUUAGUCCUGGGCCACACACGUGCUACAAUGGCCGGUACAGAGAGCAGCCACUUAGCGAUAAGGAGCGAAUCUAUAAAGCCGGUCACAGUUCGGAUCGGAGU
rnacentral:rRNA from 1 species